AUGCACUUCACGACACAGUGGCCUCUACUAAUAUAUGCUGUCACUUGGGUUACGGCACUGACAUUGACAGUAGCGGUGGCCUCAUUUUCCUCAGAGGUAGCUUUUGUCUUUGCCAUUUCACCCUCUAACAAGUGCGAAGCACUCAUUGUAGCUUCAUCAGCUUGCGUUGUUCGAGCUGCGGGCUUCUGGGAGGAUGGAUGA